CUUUCUAUAAGGACAAUUGAAUGGCCGCGGUAACUCUGACCGUGAUAAUGUAGCGAAAUCACUAGCCAGUUAAUUGCUGGCCUGUAUGAAUGGCUUAACGAGGGCUCCACUGUCUCAAUAAUAAACCGGGUGAAAUUGGAAAAACGGUAAAGAUACCGUAAAGGAAUUCUAAGACGAGAAGACCCCAUUGAGCUUUACUAUUAACUUGUAUUGCCAAAGCAAAUAAAAGGGAACUUUCCCUUGCUUUAUAAUAAAAUUGAGUAGACUAAGUGGGAAAAAAGGGAUGUUAGUCCCCUUUUUAUGGCCGAUUCAUUGGAUUGGGCCCCCAAAAGAUACCUUUUGGGGCCAUUGGCGUAGAGAGGGGGGAUCCGAUUUUCGGAUCGGCGCCGAAGGCGCCCAACCCUACUCGAUUUUUAUGAAAAACCACUCUUUUUAUUAGGAUUACUGGCUAAAACCGUACAAGUAAGGUAGUUUGGUUGGGGCGACCGCCUUCGAAAAAGUAUCGAAGGCGUACAUAAGAUUAAUCCGGGGGGGGUGUCCUUUUUUCACCCCCAAACAAACCGGGGGUAAUGCCCCAAAAAAGAUUAGUUUGACUGAGAGGGCUACAACCCGAACAGGCGCUUUUAGGUUGGGGCCCGGUUUUUACCAAGGGGCCUAAUUGACCAGCGGGCUCCUUUUUAGUCCGGGUCGAACCUAGCGGGUCAUAGUGAUCCGUUGUUAUAUUGUGGGAUAGACAACGAUCAACGAAGAA
rnacentral:rRNA from 1 species